rnacentral:miRNA from 1 species
CUUUGGUGAUCUAACUUAUGA